rnacentral:misc_RNA from 1 species
GAUGAAGAACGCAGUGAAAUGCGAUACUUGGUGUGAAUUGCAGAAUCCCGUGAACCAUCGAGUCUUUGAACGCAAGUUGCGCCCGAAGCCACUAGGCCAAGGGCACGCCUGCCUGGGCGUCACACGUCGUUGCCCCCCACCAUCUACUCCUUCGGGAUUGCGGGGGGCGGAUGAUGGCCUCCCGUGCGCCUAGCCGCGCGGUUGGCAUAAAUACCAAGUCCUCGGCGACGCACGCCACGACAAUCGGUGGUUGCGAAACCUCGGUUGCCCGUCGUGUGCGUUCGUCGCGCAUCGAGGGCUCGAAAAAAUGCUCGGCUCCGGCUCGGCUUUCAACGCGACCCCAGGUCAGGCGGGGUUACCCGCUGAAUUUAAGCAUAUCAAUAAGCGGAGGA